CAUGAAAUUAAAAAUGGAAAAGAAGAAUGCUGAGUUGCAUUCCAAGAACAACAUAUCUACUGUAAGCAUGGGGGUGGAAACAUCAUGCUUUGAGGCUGGUUUUCUGCAAAGGGCACAGGGCAACUGAUCUGUGUUAAGGGAAAAA